UACGGAGGGUGCAAGCGUUAUCCGGAUUCACUGGGUUUAAAGGGUGCGUAGGUGGGUCUGUAAGUCAGUGGUGAAAUCUCCGAGCUUAACUUGGAAACUGCCAUUGAUACUAUAGAUCUUGAAUAUUGUGGAGGUCAGCGGAAUAUGUCAUGUAGCGGUGAAAUGCUUAGAUAUGACAUAGAACACCAAAUUGCGAAGGCAGCUGGCUACACAUAUAUUGACACUGAGGCACUGAA
rnacentral:rRNA from 1 species